GACGUAGGAGGCGAGCGUUGUCCGGAUUCAUUGGGCGUAAAGAGCGCGCAGGCGGCUUGGUAAGUCGGAUGUGAAAACCCGAGGCUCAACCUCGGGCGUGCAUCCGAUACUGCUCGGCUAGAGGUAGGUAGGGGAGAUCGGAAUUCCUGGUGUAGCGGUGAAAUGCGCAGAUAUCAGGAGGAACACUGGUGGCGAAGGCGGAUCUCUGGGCCUUACCUGACGCUCAGGCGCGAAAGCAUGGGGAGCGAACAGG
rnacentral:rRNA from 1 species